CCUACGGGUGGCUGCAGUAGGGAAUAUUGGUCAAUGGAUGCAAGUCUGAACCAGCCAUGCCGCGUGCAGGAAGAAGGCCCUAUGGGUUGUAAACUGCUUUUGCCAGGGGAUAAAAUGGGCAUGCGUGCCUAAUUGAAGGUACCUGGUGAAUAAGCCACGGCUAACUACGUGCCAGCAGCCGCGGUAAUACGUAGGUGGCAAGCGUUGUCCGGAUUUAUUGGGUUUAAAGGGUGCGUAGGCGGUCUUAUAAGUCAGUGCUGAAAUAUCCCGGCUUA
rnacentral:rRNA from 1 species